GACGAACGCUGGCGGCGUGCUUAACACAUGCAAGUCGAACGGAAAGGCCCUGCUUUUGUGGGGUGCUCGAGCGGCGAACGGGUGAGUAACACGUGAGUAACCUGCCCUUGACUUUGGGAUAACUUCAUGAAACUUGGGCUAAUACCGGAUAGGAGCUCCUGCUUCAUGGUGGGGGUUGGAUAGUUUCGGCGGUUGGGGAUGGACUCGCGGCUUAUCAGCUUGUUGGUGGGGUAGUGGCUUACCAAGGCUUUGACGGGUAGCCGGCCUGAGAGGGUGACCGGCCACAUUGGGACUGAGAUACGGCCCAGACUCCUACGGGAGGCAGCAGUGGGGAAUAGUGCACAAUGGGCGGAAGCAUGAUGCAGCAACGCAGCGUGCGGGAUGACGGCAUGCGGGUUGUAAACCGAUUUCGCCUGUGACGAAGCGUGAGUGACGGUAAUGGGUAAAGAAGCACCGGCUAACUACGUG
rnacentral:rRNA from 1 species